GUGUGUGUGUGUGUGUGUGUGAAACACAACUGACAGAGAGACAAAGGAGAACAGGGAAAGGAAAUGCAAAUGAGUGUUUUAAAUAGCAAU